rnacentral:rRNA from 1 species
GAUGAACGCUAGCUACAGGCUUAACACAUGCAAGUCGAGGGACCCGCACACGGGAGCGUAACACGUAUCCAACCUGCCCUUUACUCGAGGAUAGCCUUUCGCAAGAAAGAUUAAUACCCGAUAUAAUGGAGCGGGAUGCGUUCCAUUAGGUUGUUGGUGAGGUAACGGCCCACCAAGCCUUCGAUGGAUAGGGGUUCUGAGAGGAAGCUCCACCACAUUGGAACUGAGACACGGGCCAAACUCCUACGGGACGCAGCAGUGAGGAAUAUUGGGCAAUGGGCGUUAGCCUGAACCAGCCAAGUAGCGGGAAGGAUGAAGGCUUAUGGGUCUUAAACUUCUUUUAUAGAAGAAUAUGUAUUAUAUGAAUAAGGAUCGGCUAACUCCGUGCCAGCAGCCGCGGUAAUAC